GAUGAACGCUGGCGGCGUGCCUAAUACAUGCAAGUCGAGCGAACGGACGAGAAGCUUGCUUCUCUGAUGUUAGCGGCGGACGGGUGAGUAACACGUGGAUAACCUACCUAUAAGACUGGGAUAACUUCGGGAAACCGGAGCUAAUACCGGAUGAUAUUUUGAACCGCAUGGUUCAAAAGUGAAAGACGGUCUUGCUGUCACUUAUAGAUGGAUCCGCGCUGCAUUAGCUAGUUGGUAAGGUAACGGCUUACCAAGGCAACGAUGCAUAGCCGACCUGAGAGGGUGAUCGGCCACACGGGAACUGAGACACGGUCAAGACUCCUACGGGAGGCAGCAGUAGGGAAUCUUUCGCAAUGGGCGAAAGCCUGACGGAGCAACGCCGCGUGAGUGAUGAAGGUCUUCGGAUCGGAAAAAUCUGUUAUUAGGGAAGAACAUAUGUGUAAGUAACUGUGCACAUCUUGACGGUACCUAAUCAGAAAGCCACGGCUAACUACGUG
rnacentral:rRNA from 1 species